AUUUACCGCCUGGAAGAGAGAAACGGAGGCUGAUGCUGAGCUGCAGAGCUGUUGUCGCAGGCGCGUGACUCACAAGGACACAGCUAUAGAUGCUCCGCUCAGCUAAUGGGCCACCUUUUUAGAGUAUUCACAGGUGGCCUGGCCGAGAUAAGAGGCCUGUGCCUUUCAGUGGGAAGACAGACCUUAAGGAUUAACUAUAUAAAACAAUAAUACAUUAUAAGCCAGCAGAGGAACCACAACUACACACGGUGGGUUUGUUUUUAGGAUAAUUGUUUUCAUUCUGCAAUAUUGUGUUUGCUUAUAUUUGUAGCUACAGUGAUUAUGAUACAACGUUUACUGAGCAGCUCAGUAUUACUGUGUUUUUAGCAUCACACCCAGUAGGUCUGAGGCUCAUUUGGUAGAGUUAACCACUUUAUACAACAUGGAGACUUACUGGGGUCAAGCUUCAGGGCCUGUCUUGAUGGAUACCAGUGAGGAUCUGAGUAGAUAACACACACAGGCCCAAGAAUCAUUGAUCUCCGUAGAAUAAUGCACCACCAUGAUGCGCUGAGUUUUUUUUUGGAAACUUAUAUUCUUCAUUGUUGCAUCAACAUCAUAACUCACAUGUUUUGCAAAAAAGGCUCUUGAUGUCUCCUAUUGUUGAGCAGGGAUCCACCUAAAGCAACACAUGGAACAGAAACAUGAAGUAGUCGUGAUGUGUUACCAGUAAAAACGCACCUUGUCUACCUGUCUGUACCUUGUCUAAAAAACAAAGCUGCUCUCGGGUCCUGGCAUCCAGAACUUCCACCUGAAGAAAAGACGUAAAAUGUGGGAUUCAGCAUCUGGUGUGUCUGCCACCUCCGCCACAAACCAGCGGGCAGUAAAGGCUGGACUUUAACAUCCACCCGCUCUGAGAGCUCAUCCGCCUGUGACGGCUCCUCCCAGCAGACGCUGGUGUCAUCACAUGCACUGUUUGUCCUCACUGCUCAUCACAGACGAGACUGGGAGGAAAAGAACAUUCAUGCAAAAAACCUCAGCUCAGAGUUGAUUGUCGUGACCCAGAAACUUCUCAAGCUCUGCUGAGACAAACAUCUGCUGAAUUCAGGAAGCCCUAUUUUUGCCU